rnacentral:rRNA from 1 species
AUUGAACGCUGGCGGCAGGCCUAACACAUGCAAGUCGAGCGGGGUUUUCGGACCUAGCGGCGGACGGGUGAGUAAUGCGUAGGAAGCUACCCGAUAGAGGGGGAUACCAGUUGGAAACGACUGUUAAUACCGCAUAAUGUCUACGGACCAAAGCGUGGGACCUUCGGGCCACAUGCUAUCGGAUGCGCCUACGUGGGAUUAGCUAGUUGGUGAGGUAAUGGCUCACCAAGGCGACGAUCCCUAGCUGGUUUGAGAGGAUGAUCAGCCACACUGGAACUGAGACACGGUCCAGACGCCUACGGGAGGCAGCAGUGGGGAAUAUUGGACAAUGGGCGCAAGCCUGAUCCAGCCAUGCCGCGUGUGUGAAGAAGGCCUUCGGGUUGUAAAGCACUUUCAGUAGGGAGGAAGCGUUGUGUGUUAAUAGUACACAGCGUUGACGUUACCUACAGAAGAAGCACCGGCUAACUCUGUGCCAGCAGCCGCAGUAAUAC